CAUAAUGUCAAAUUUACCCUUUUCAAUAUAUACAAGAGAAAAAUCAUAAGAUCCAUUCAUUUCUUCAUUUUCUUUCUCUCUCAUCUCUCUCGCUCGGUUGCAGGUUGCAGAGAAAAAAGUUUCAGGGUUUGCUCUCUCUCUCAGACGAAGAAACAGGCCGAGAACACGAUUUCUAAUCGAAAUUUCCAGUUCAACAAUGGAACUAUGAAGAUCUUCAACAACAACAGAAAUAAAGAAGAUAACAACUAAUCGUCAUUCACAGAACAACUUUGGGUACUGGAAUCUGUACCUGGAGAUGUAAAUCCUGAAGAGAGUGAUGGAGAAGUUGAGAAGGUUUUCCAGACCUUGCAAAGUUUACCCUCAGAAAUCCCAUCAAGAAAGUGGCUUGUAGAUUACAUGAUGGAGCUUGGGUUCUUCAAAUCACUUUCCCAGUGGGUUGGCAAUAACCUU